GCCACACUGAUGUGUCUGGCCAACAAGGGCUUCCCUUCAGACUGGACCAUGAGCUGGAAAGUGGACGGGACCAGCCAGAUACAAGAGGCCAGUUCUAGGGUCCUGGAGAAGGAUGGUCUGUACAGCUGGAGCAGCACCCUGACUCUCACUGGCCAGGAGUGGACCAAGGCAGGAGAGGUGACCUGUGAAGCCCAGCAGAAAUCCCAGACUCCAGUCACCAAGGCCUUGAAGAAGGCUGACUGUUCUGGGUAGGAUCCCUCAGUCACACAUCCCUGUGGAGAGAGGCUGCUGGUUCCUCUGCUUUGACUCUGUUCUGAGAUCAGAUGUUCUCUGUCUUAUUGAUCACUGACAUGUAGACUAACAGAGGGCUUUCCUCUCUAAGAGGGCACUGCGCCCGGCCCGCCACAGGAGUUGCUGGUGCGCGAUGAGACAAGGAUAUCCCUACCGGCCAAACCCUCCCUAACCCGGACGAUGCUAGGCCAAUUGUGCGUCGCCCCACGGACCUCCCGGUCGCGGCCGGCUGCGACAGAGCCUGGGCGCGAACCCAGAGUCUCUGGUGGCACAGCUAGCGC